UUCGCCCUUUUCCGGUUGAUCCUGCCGGAAGCUACUGCUAUCGGGAUUCGAUUUAGCCAUGCGAGUCGAGGGAAUUAGAUUCCCGGCUGACGGCUCAGUAACACGUGGAUAACCUGCCCUCAGGUGGGGGAUAAUCUCGGGAAACUGAGGAUAAUACCCCAUAGACAUCCUUUGCUGGAAUGCUUGGAUGUCCAAAGCCCAAAGCGCCUGAGGAUGGGUCUGCGGCCUAUCAGGUUGUAGUAGGUGUAACGGACCCACUAGCCAGCGACGGGUACGGGCCUUGAAAGAGGUAGCCCGGAGAUGGACUCUGAGACACGAGUCCAGGCCCUACGGGGCGCAGCAGGCGCGAAAACUUCGCAAUGCGGGGAACCGUGACGAGGGAAUCCCGAGUGCUCAUGCAAUGCAUGGGCUUUUUUGAUUUGUAAAAAGGAUUAAGAAUAAGGGCUGGGUAAGACCGGUGCCAGCCGCCGCGGUAAUACCGGCAGCUCGAGUGGUAGCCGCUUUUAUUGGGCCUAAAGCGUCCGUAGCCGGUCAGGUAAAUCCUUGGGUAAAUCGUAUUGCUUAACGAUACGAACUCCGGGGAGACUGCCUGACUUGGGACCGGGAGAGGUUGGAGGUACUCCUAGGGUAGGGGUGAAAUCCUGUAAUCCUAGGUGGACCACCGGUGGCGAAGGCGUCCAACCAGAACGACUCCGACGGUGAGGGACGAAGGCUAGGGGCGCAAACCGGAUUAGAUACCCGGGUAGUCCUAGCUGUAAACGCUGCAGGCUUG
rnacentral:rRNA from 1 species